rnacentral:rRNA from 1 species
CGGGUGAGUAAUGCUUAGGGAUCUGCCCAGUAGUGGGGGACAACUCGAGGAAACUCGAGCUAAUACCGCAUACGCCCUAUGGGGGAAAGUGGAGGAUCUUCGGACUUCACGCUAUUGGAUGAGCCUAAGUCGGAUUAGCUUGUUGGUGAGGUAAAGGCUCACCAAGGCGACGAUCCGUAGCUGGUCUGAGAGGACGAUCAGCCACACUGGGACUGAGACACGGCCCAG